UGGAACACCGGUUCCCGUAGGAUCUCUGAAGUUAAGUAACAUUGAACCUUUUAGUACCUAAAUGGGUGACCGCCUGGGAAAUCCAGAUGCUGUAA